rnacentral:rRNA from 1 species
UACAGAGGUCUCAAGCGUUGUUCGGAUUCAUUGGGCGUAAAGGGUGCGUAGGCGGCGCGGUAAGUCGGGUGUGAAAUCUUGGAGCUUAACUGCAGAACUGCCAUAGAUACUAUUUAUCUUGAAUGUCGUGGAGGUUAGCAGAAUAUGUCAUGUAGCGGUGAAAUGCUUAGAUAUGACAUAGAAUACCCAUUGCGAAGGCAGCUAACUACGCGAUAAUUGACGCUGAUGCACGAAAGCGUGGGGAUCAAACAGG